AGAGCGAACGCUGGCGGCAGGCCUAACACAUGCAAGUCGAGCGGCCGUAGCAAUACGGCAGCGGCAGACGGGAGAGUAACACGUGGGAACGCGCCCUUCGGUUCGGAAUAACUCAGGGGAAACUUGGGCUAAUACCGGAUACGCCCUUACGGGGAAAGAUUUAUUGCCGAAGGAACGGCCCGCGUCCGAUUAGCUUGUUGGUGAGGUAACGGCUCACCAAGGCGACGAUCGGUAGCUGGUCUGAGAGGAUGACCAGCCUCACUGGGACUGAGACACGGCCCAAACUCCUACGGGAGGCAGCAGUGGGGAAUAUUGGACAAUGGCGCAAGCCUGAUCCAGCCAUGCCGCGUGAGUGAUGAAGGCCCUAGGGUUGUAAAGCUCUUUUGUGCGGGAAGAGUAAUGACGGUACCGCAAGAAUAACGCCCGGCUAACUUCGUGCCAGCAGCCGC
rnacentral:rRNA from 1 species